rnacentral:sRNA from 1 species
UACACUGUAUAUAUAGGUUGAAUAGAAGGUCAUCCUAUUCAUUUAUUAAUGAGAGGUACAAUCUCUAGGGAUCUGUAAAAUCUAUUUUGUCUUAACCAAAGAACAAAUUUUUGACGUAUCUUGAAUAGGAUGACUAUAAAUUAUGACUUUUAAAUUGUUGUAAUUUUUGUACUAUUAUCUGAUAUUUUUAUUUUUAUGUAUGUUCCUAAGUAGUUUAGAGAUAGUCACAUUUUAAAAAUCUAAGAUCAAGCAAAUGAAGCUUAUUUUUAUGUAUUCAUAGUAUAAAAGACCUUCAGUAAAUAGGUAAUAUUUUUGUUUUAUUCUAGAAAACAGCUCCUUGAACACAGUGAGCUGGCUUUUCACACAUUGCAGUUGUUAGUGUUUACUGCCCUUGCCAUUUUAAUUAUGAGGCUAAAGAUGUUUUUGACACCGCACAUGUGUGUUAUGGCUUCCUUGAUAUGCUCUCGACAGCUCUUUGGCUGGCUCUUUCGCAGAGUUCGUUUUGAGAAGGUUAUCUUUGGCAUUCUAACAGUGAUGUCAAUACAAGGUUAUGCAAACCUCCGUAAUCAAUGGAGCAUAAUAGGAGAAUUUAAUAAUUUGCCUCAGGAAGAACUUUUACAGUGGAUCAAAUACAGUACCACAUCAGAUGCUGUCUUCGCAGGUGCCAUGCCUACAAUGGCAAGCAUCAAGCUGUCUACACUUCAUCCCAUUGUGAAUCAUCCACAUUACGAAGAUGCAGACUUGAGGGCUCGGACAAAAAUAGUUUAUUCUACAUAUAGUCGAAAAUCUGCCAAAGAAGUAAGAGAUAAAUUGUUGGAGUUACAUGUGAAUUAUUAUGUUUUAGAAGAGGCAUGGUGUGUUGUGAGAACUAAGCCUGGUUGCAGUAUGCUUGAAAUCUGGGAUGUGGAAGACCCUUCCAAUGCAGCUAACCCUCCCUUAUGUAGCGUCCUGCUCGAAGACGCCAGGCCUUACUUCACCACAGUAUUUCAGAAUAGUGUGUACAGAGUAUUGAAGGUUAACUGAGAAGGAUACUACCCAUUAUACUAUGGCACAAUGCCGUGUGUCAAAAACAAUCACCCUUUGGCUUAUUCACAUUAAUAAAAAUCACAAGCUUUAAUAACAGACACUUAAGAUAAAAAUGGAUUGGAAAUUUUUCUGAUUACUAAAAGGUAAAUUACUUUUCUGUUCAUUGAAUGUCAGCCUUAUUAAGCUUGUCAUAUAAGUUAUUAAAUCAUUCAUGUCAUACUGCUUAAACAAAUGUUCAUUUCAGAAUUUUAAAGAGAAAUGUAUAUAAAAGAACAAUGAAUUUUAAUAAAUCAGGGGUACGUAAGUC